rnacentral:rRNA from 1 species
GAUGAACGCUGGCGGCGUGCCUAAUACAUGCAAGUCGAGCGAACGGACGAGAAGCUUGCUUCUCUGAUGUUAGCGGCGGACGGGUGAGUAACACGUGGAUAACCUACCUAUAAGACUGGGAUAACUUCGGGAAACCGGAGCUAAUACCGGAUAAUAUUUUGAACCGCAUGGUUCAAAAGUGAAAGACGGUACUGCUGUCACUUAUAGAUGGAUCCGCGCUGCAUUAGCUAGUUGGUAAGGUAACGGCUUACCAAGGCAACGAUGCAUAGCCGACCUGAGAGGGUGAUCGGCCACACUGGAACUGAGACACGGUCCAGACUCCUACGGGAGGCAGCAGUAGGGAAUCUUCCGCAAUGGGCGAAAGCCUGACGGAGCAACGCCGCGUGAGUGAUGAAGGUCUUCGGAUCGUAAAACUCUGUUAUUAGGGAAGAACAUAUGUGUAAGUAACUGUGCACAUCUUGACGGUACCUAAUCAGAAAGCCACGGCUAACUACGUG